GGGGGAUAUUGCGCAAUGGGGGCAACCCUGACGCAGCAACGCCGCGUGAAGGAUGAAGGUUUUCGGAUUGUAAACUUCUUUUAUUAAGGACGAAACUUGACGGUACUUAAUGAAUAAGCUCCGGCUAACUACGUGCCAGCAGCCGCGGUAAUACGUAGGGAGCAAGCGUUGUCCGGAUUUACUGGGUGUAAAGGGUGCGUAGGCGGCUUUGCAAGUCAGAUGUGAAAUCUAUGGGCUCAACCCAUAAACUGCAUUUGAAACUGUAGAGCUUGAGUGAAGUAGAGGCAGGCGGAAUUCCCCGUGUAGCGGUGAAAUGCGUAGAGAUGGGGAGGAACACCAGUGGCGAAGGCGGCCUGCUGGGCUUUAACUGACGCUGAGGCACGAAAGCGUGGGUAGCAAACAGGAUUAGAUACCCUGGUAGUCCACGCUGUAAACGAUGAUUACUAGGUGUGGGGGGUCUGACCCCUUCCGUGCCGGAGUUAACACAAUAAGUAAUCCACCUGGGGAGUACGGCCGCAAGGUUGAAACUCAAAGGAAUUGACGGGGGCCCGCACAAGCAGUGGAGUAUGUGGUUUAAUUCGAAGCAACGCGAAGAACCUUACCAGGUCUUGACAUCCAACUAACGAAGUAGAGAUACAUUAGGUGCCCUUCGGGGAAAGUUGAGACAGGUGGUGCAUGGUUGUCGUCAGCUCGUGUCGUGAGAUGUUGGGUUAAGUCCCGCAACGAGCGCAACCCUUGCUAUUAGUUGCUACGCAAGAGCACUCUAAUAGGACUGCCGUUGACAAAACGGAGGAAGGUGGGGACGACGUCAAAUCAUCAUGCCCCUUAUGACCUGGGCUACACACGUACUACAAUGGAUGUUAGCAGAGGGAAGCAAGACAGCGAUGUGGAGCAAACCCCUAAAAACAUUCUCAGUUCAGAUUGCAGGCUGCAACCCGCCUGCAUGAAGAUGGAAUUGCUAGUAAUCGCGGAUCAGCAUGCCGCGGUGAAUACGUUCCCG
rnacentral:rRNA from 2 species